GCCAGAUUGCAUGACUGCAUCUCUAUCUUCAGCACUGCUAAAUCGAAAAAUGCAAUACCCUUCAGCAUGAACCAAAAUUUGAGGUUUAGCAACAAAAUUUCAUACAUGCAUAACAAAUUUCUCCAUAUUCUGCUCACUAGGUUUAUCCCCAAUCACAAAACCAAUCAAUGCAUUUUGCCAAUAAUCCAAUUGAGGUUUCAGAUCUUCUUCACAGAUUGUAACAAUUUUUUUACCAUCUCGCAUGGUAGGAGGAACAAAGGAUAGAGACUUACCCAUUUGCACAUCUCUAUUACCUCUAACUAUC
rnacentral:lncRNA from 1 species